rnacentral:rRNA from 1 species
CCCUUAGAUGUUCUGGGCUGCACGCGCGCUACACUGAUGCACUCAACGAGUUUACGACCUUGCCCGAUAGGGUUGGGUAAUCUUUUUAAAAUGCAUCGUGAUGGGGAUAGAUUAUUGCAAUUAUUAAUCUUCAACGAGGAAUUCCUAGUAAGCGAGAGUCAUCAGCUCGUGCUGAUUACGUCCCUGCCCUUUGUACACACCGCCCGUCGCUCCUACCGAUUGAGUGCUCAGGUGAAUAAUUCGGACUGCAGCAAUGUUUGGAUCCCGAACGUUGCAGCGGAAAGUUUAGUGAACCUUAUCACUUAGAGGAAGGAGAAGUCGUAACA